UACGAAGGGGGCUAGCGUUGCUCGGAAUCACUGGGCGUAAAGGGUGCGUAGGCGGGGCUUUAAGGCAGGGGUGAAAUCCUGGAGCUCAACUCCAGAACUGCCUUUGAUACUGAAGAUCUUGAGUUCGGGAGAGGUGAGUGGAACUGCGAGUGUAGAGGUGAAAUUCGUAGAUAUUCGCAAGAACACCAGUGGCGAAGGCUGCUCACUGGCCCGAUACUGACGCUGAGGCACGAAAGCGUGGGGAGCAAACAGG
rnacentral:rRNA from 1 species